rnacentral:rRNA from 1 species
AUGUCAAAUCAUCAUGCCCCUUAUGUCUUGGGCUACAAACGUGCUACAAUGGCGCACACAAAGUGAAGCAAAAUCGUGAGAUGGAGCCAAUCACAAAAAGGCGUCUCAGUUCGGAUUGUAGGCUGCAACUCGCCUGCAUGAAGUUGGAAUCGCUAGUAAUCGCGAAUCAGCAUGUCGCGGUGAAUACGUUCCCGGGCCUU